rfam:Picea glauca, whole genome shotgun sequence.
UGUCAUAAGAUUUCCCAAAAAUCAAUCUCAAUGAAGAGGGUGUUGAAAUCAAGGAAACAUUUGAGGGCAUUCCAUAACUUUUUCCCCUUCAAGAAAUAUCACAGACAACCUUCCAUCCAAAUUCAACAAAAAUGAAACCAAUUUUUUUAUAUUUCUUGGUGCCUCAUCCUAUAAUCGAUGACAAAAUUAGGAAAUCCAGAGACGUCGUCGAGGCCCCUGGGAAGACUUAUCUUUUCUUUUUAACAAAUUUCCCACCCUGAAAUUGGCUCAACCAAAGAUAGGGUCUAGUAGCUGGAAGAGAUUCACACAUCUUGCGGUGUCUGGUGCACCCUCAGUGACCCUUGAAAAUCUAGAGGACCGAGUAUCAUACAUGCCUGGUCGUACUCAUAACCGCAUUAGGUCUUUGAGGUGAACAAACUCU